GAUGAAGAACGCAGCGAAAUGCGAUAAGUAAUGUGAAUUGCAGAGUUCAGUGAAUCAUCGAAUCUUUGAACGCACAUUGCGCCCGUCAGUAUUCUGACGGGCACGCCUGUCCGAGCGUCAUUUCAACCCUCAAGCACUGCUUGGCGUUGGCGGAUUGCGUGCCCUCGCGGCGCUGCAACCGCCCAAAUACAGUGGCGGUCCCGCUGCGGCUCCCUUUGCGUAGUAACUCACCUCGCACUGGACCGGGCGGCGGCCUGCCGUAAAACCCCAACUCACGAAAUGUUGACCUCGGAUCAGGUAGGAAUACCCGCUGAACUUAAGCAUAUCAAUAAGCGGAGGA
rnacentral:misc_RNA from 1 species